GAUGAACGCUGGCGGCGUGCCUAAUACAUGCAAGUCGAGCGAACAGAUGAGGAGCUUGCUCCUCUGACGUUAGCGGCGGACGGGUGAGUAACACGUGGAUAACCUACCUAUAAGACUGGGAUAACUUCGGGAAACCGGAGCUAAUACCGGAUAAUAUAUUGAACCGCAUGGUUCAAUAGUGAAAGACGGUUUUGCUGUCACUUAUAGAUGGAUCCGCGCCGCAUUAGCUAGUUGGUAAGGUAACGGCUUACCAAGGCGACGAUGCGUAGCCGACCUGAGAGGGUGAUCGGCCACACUGGAACUGAGACACGGUCCAGACUCCUACGGGAGGCAGCAGUAGGGAAUCUUCCGCAAAGGGCGAAAGCCUGACGGAGCAACGCCGCGUGAGUGAUGAAGGUCUUCGGAUCGUAAAACUCUGUUAUUAGGGAAGAACAAAUGUGUAAGUAACUAUGCACGUCUUGACGGUACCUAAUCAGAAAGCCACGGCUAAUUACGUG
rnacentral:rRNA from 1 species